UCAAACGACGACUGUGAGAAGACAAACUCGUCGAAAGUCGUAUACUAAUAUUACUAAUUUAAUACCUAUUGAAUUUUCGGAAUACGCCGUCGACGAUCCGCGCCACGGACCGACCAAUCUUACCGGUGUUUAUGGGACAUUUGGAGGGGGGGAGAAGGGUAGUAGUCCCCCGUCCCCCCGGUCGAAAGCGGACUGCAGUCGGUGGUGCAAUUUAAAUAGGAAAAAAUUACCUACCCGGCUUAAGUCCAUACCAAUCCUCCCUUCUGGAGAAGCCACAUAUUAGGGAACCUAACCGAGGAGAAAUUGAGGGAAAAACCGCCUGAAACAGUGAACCUCGAACACCACCUCACUUCCGUCCAGAAAACAACGUUAGGCAGAACGACUCUGCACUUAACAGGUCACAUCACAGGUGGUCUGCUGCCGACAUAAACGAAAAAAAAUUGGCAACUCGAGUUGGCACUCGACGACAACCGGUAUAUAGGUAGGUAGUAUAGUUCGGUGGCUUAAAAAAAAA